GUGAAGUCCUCCGUGCUGUCUGACCCACUUUAAGUUACUUGCUUGUUUGUUUCCUGGCUUCCCCUCUGGAAGCAUUGCCCCAUGAGGGGAAUGUGUGUGUUAUGACUGCUUUCUUACCUUUGCCUGUGGCACUGUGCCAUGUGCAAGCGACCUCAAGCGUUGAACGCAGAAAGAAUACAAGGAAGAACACACAGCAGAUCUGAAAGCACCUUGGAAACCAGUGGCUGCUUUUACCAGCACUUACACGUCUUAACAGGCUGUGGCUGGUUGUCAGAUAAAGGCCUCAUCCCCGGAAGGUUUCUGUAGAACCUGAAACUGCCAGACCCCGACCUAAGAAAAUGGAAGCCUUAGGCGAUCAUGGACCCUGGUGGGGGCACCAAGAGAUUAAGAGAUUAUGAAAAGAAAAGUUUAGACUAGAAAAUCCCCAUGUGAGGGCUGAUUGACCUAUGAACCACCAAGACAACCUAAAGUAGGCAAACUGAAGCUGGCCUGGCCUGGCCUGGCCUCCCCCUGGGACCUUAAUGGACUUGCCUCCUUGGAGACUGGGUACCUUGACCUAAUCCCACUUUUGGCAUCGCUUGAUGUUGGACUCAGAGGAGAUGCUCCUCUGACCUGCGAUAAGAACUCAGCGUGGCCAUGGGCUCACCAGCCUUGUCAUCUUUCGGGGCCAUCGAGAAGACUUCAUUUCCCAGCCUCAACUCCCAAGGUGAUGUAGUGCUAUGGUUGGCUCCCACCAAAACUCAUCGAAGUCUGGUUACCGAGGUAAUUGUGUUGGUCCAGCCUUCCCACUACCCCUAGAGUGACACGUCUUGCUUUUUUCCCUGCCUCCCACCAUGCCCAUGAGUUGAAGAUAAGGGUCUCAUAAAACAGAAGGAAUUUGCAUUGAGCAUCUUGGGAAGCUGAGGUCAGAGGAUCAGGAGUUCAGGGGCAUUCUCUGCUACACUGCUGGUUCAGUGCCAGCUUGGACUACAUAAGACCCUGAGCCUGCCCCCUGCACCUCCACCCCUGCCCAGGAAAGGAAGGAGAUUGGAUGUGGGAGCUGCUGUGCUCAGGAGAUUCAUUGACCUGUGCUGUAUUUGUGCAAGCAAGAAAUAAACCUUUAUUACCACUGC
rnacentral:lncRNA from 1 species